rnacentral:rRNA from 1 species
AUACGGAGGGUCCAAGCGUUAUCCGGAAUCAUUGGGUUUAAAGGGUCCGUAGGCGGGCAAUUAAGUCAGAGGUGAAAUCCCACAGCUCAACUGUGGAACUGCCUUUGAUACUGGUUGUCUUGAAUUAUAGUGAAGUAGAUAGAAUAUGUAGUGUAGCGGUGAAAUGCUUAGAUGUUACAUAGAAUACCGAUUGCGAAGGCAGUCUACUAACUGUAUAUUGACGCUGAUGGACGAAAGCGUGGGGAGCGAACAGGAUUAGAAACCCUAGUAGUCC